rnacentral:rRNA from 1 species
AUGAAGCACAGAUCGCCGAGGACCCGGUGCGCGCCGCCGCCGGUGGGAGUGCCAGCGCGCGGCUGGGGAGGGAGGACGCUGCUGGUGGCGGUUCGGAGGGACGCGGCCGGGAGGGAGCUGCUCACCUGGGCGCUGGCCAAGGCCGCCUCCGCCGGCGACCGCGUUGUUGCCCUCCACGUCACCACCGCCGGAGCCGCCGACGGGUUCGGGCCGGACGAGAGGAGCAGAGCCGCCGAUUCGCUGGCCUCCGUGCUCGGCGCGUACGACGGCUUCUGCAAUCUCAGCCAGAUCAACCUGGAGCUCAGGGUCUGCCAUGGAUCAUCCGUCAAGAGGGCUUUGGUAAACGAGGCCAUCUCCUACGGCGCCGCGCAACUCAUCCUCGGGAUCACCAAGAACUCUAGGCAUCUCGGAUUGUCUGCCACCGUUGUGGCCAAGUACUGCGCGAAGAGGGUUCCGCAGAGCUGCACGGUUCUCGCGGUCAGCAAUGGCGCCGUCGUGUACCAUGGGAACGCAAUACAGGAGGAGAUCAACCACUGCUGCACUACAAUGUCACCCCGAAGAAACUAUUCUCUGGUGGCGGAGACACCGCGAAGAAUCUACCGGAAGAUACUCGACGCAGCGGCGACGAUUGGGGAGAAAACUAAGGAUGACUCAUCCAUCGGCCAUUGCCGGUCCUUGCAGCGGAACAUGUCAAUGUCGAUGAGCGCUCCCGUCUCGCCAAAGGUAGCGGCAGCACCACCGACUCCGGUGACAUGUCACAGGCGGGAACUGCCGGAGGUGGCUGCCGGGUGGCCAUUGCGAAGGAAGGACAUCAUGCCUGCCUCGCCGGAGUGUUCGGAGAUGUCUGUGGUUGAGUGGGCAAUGCGGCUUCCAAGCCGGUGCUCACUGCUAUCGCCAGCCAGUUCAGUCAAAACUUCCGAUCACCAGGCGACCUCUCAAUCGAGAAGCGAUUCGACAGAGCCGCCGUCUCCGGUGACCGAGGAAGCAGCGGAGCUGGUCUCGAUCAGAGAGAAGUACUCGUCAAUGUACACCAUGUUCAGUUACAGUGAUCUUGCGAGGAUCACCUCUGACUUCUCCCCAGAGCGGGUAGUGGGGAAAGGUGGUGCGAGCCAUGUUUACAGUGGCCGUUGCGAAGACGGCAAGGAGCUGGCGGUGAAGGUCUUGAAAUCUUCAGCCGAGGUGAUGAAGGAGUUCGUCGGGGAGAUCGGCAUCGUCAGCUCCGUCGAGCACAAGAACGCCAUGGCCCUCGUCGGGUUCUGCGCCGAGCGCGGCAAGCUCAUGCUGGUCUACGACUACAUGCGCAGAGGCAGCCUGGAGGAGAUCUUGCACGGGGAGGAGAAAGAAUGCAAGGGCUCAAGGUUAGAUUGGCCGGAGAGAUUCAAGGUGGCCGUGGGAGUCGCGCGCGCCCUCAAUUAUCUCCACGGCGGCGGCCACACCAAGUGUCCGGUGAUUCACAGGGACGUCAAGUCCUCCAACAUCCUCAUCUCCCAAGAUUGCGAACCCAAGCUGUGCGACUUCGGCCUCGCGCUGUGGGCGGCGGACGCGGCGGCGCAGGUCACCGGCGACGACUUGGCCGGCACGUUCGGGUACUUGGCCCCUGAGUACUUCAUGCACGGCAAGGUCAGCGACAAGAUGGACGUGUACGCCUUCGGGGUGGUCCUUCUGGAGCUCGUCUCCGGGAGGAAGCCGGUGAGCUCAGGUGGCCCCAAGGGCCAGGAGAGCAUAGUGAUGUGGGCGAAUUCCGUCGUGCAAGGUGGGAAGCUGACAGAGCUCGUCGAUCCGAGCCUUCCGACGGACGGCGACAACGCCGGCGAGAUGGAGAGAAUAGCCCUCGCGGCUGCACUCUGCAUCCGUCGAGCACCGCACGUUCGGCCUAGCAUGGCAAACGUCCUGAAGCUGCUCGACGGCGACAGCGACGCCGUCCAGUGGGCGAGGUCGCAGCUGGGCAUGCCCAACGCCUGCGACGACAACCACGGCGACAAAGAUUAUGACAGCGCGGCUGCUUUGCCUGACAAGAACGACAUCCAGUCGUACAUCAAGCUCGCUCUGCUCGACGGCGGCGACGAGGAGGACGACGACGACUCCGCGUCCGUGGGUUGCGCCGCCGACUUCAUCGCCGGCAACAUGUCGCUGGAGGAGUACAUGAAGGGGAGGUGGAGCCGGUCGUCCAGCUUGACUGAAGACGGAGGCUCCAACCAUGGCGGGAGUGCACGAGUUUUUGUGUAG